rnacentral:rRNA from 1 species
UACGUAGGGUGCAAGCGUUGUCCGGAAUUAUUGGGCGUAAAGAGCUCGUAGGCGGUUCGUCGCGUCGGCUGUGAAAACCUGAGGCUCAACCCCAAGCCUGCAGUCGAUACGGGCAGACUAGAGUUCGGUAGGGGAGUCUGGAAUUCCUGGUGUAGCGGUGAAAUGCGCAGAUAUCAGGAGGAACACCGAUGGCGAAGGCAGGUCACUGGGCCGCAACUGACGCUGAGGAGCGAAAGCAUGGGGAGCGAACAGG